GGCGGCAUAGCCAAGCGGUAAGGCAUGGGUCUGCAAAACCUUGAUUCGCCAGUUCAAAUCUGGCUGCCGCCU
rnacentral:tRNA from 2 species